rnacentral:misc_RNA from 1 species
CCUAUCGCCAACAGGCUUAGUGAAAAUCUGGAGCAAGGUCCCCUGAUCAUCCCUAUCCACCAAAAUUCCCAACUCCUCACACUCCUUGAUCUGCUCAUCAGUCAAAACAUCCCCUACCCUGUUCUUCAAAUUCCGAUAAUAUGUUGGCGGCGGAGACGGCAUAAAGUCAAAUCCUCCAACGCCGCUCCUCCGCCGCAUUUCCCUUAAGGUCUUGAAUAUAUCUUCACUCACAAGCGCCAAAUGCUGCAGACCAGCUCCUUCAUUGUGCUCCAAGUAUGUUUGUAUUUGGCUUUUCCUCUUGGUGCCAAACACCGGCUCAUUCAGUGGCAGCAAAACUGUCUCUUCAUUAUUCGCCAAAACCAACGAGUUCAAUCCGCUCUCACUAGUCCCCACAUCCUCCGCCGUGAACUCCGCAAACUCAUGGAAACCGGUGAACUCCUUGACGUAAGAGACCGCUGGAGCUAAUUCCGGCACGUUUCCAACCGCAUGGUCCAAUCGCCGAAUCCCGUAAUCCAAAGGAAACGAUGAAGCCUCAUCUACUGAUUCAAAUUUUGGCAGAAACCAACUAUCGGGACUAGAAUCAUUAAGGUUAGGGUUUGAGUUCUUGUAACUAAUAUAUCGCAAAACUACAUCCCCAUAUAAAUGAACUUCCGCAACAACGGCACGAUUAUCGAGCGUUAUUGGUCCGCCCAUGGGUAAGGCGCCGCGCGCGACGCUAGUGUUGUACGCGAUUUCUGCGUCCUCAACUUCUAUGGCGAUGGCUCGAACACCAAGUCCGUGCUUAGCUGAGAAAUUCCGGCACGCUUCAUGACUGAAGGUU